AUAGGCCCUCGGGUUCGCUCUCACCCUUUGUGACAUACCUAUAACUGUUGCUUCGGCGGGUAGGGUCUCCGCGACCCUCCCGGCCUCCCGCCUCCGGGCGGGUCGGCGCCCGCCGGAGGAUAACCAAACUCUGAUUUAACGACGUUUCUUCUGAGUGGUACAAGCAAAUAAUCAAAACUUUUAACAACGGAUCUCUUGGUUCUGGCAUCGAUGAAGAACGCAGCGAAAUGCGAUAAGUAAUGUGAAUUGCAGAAUUCAGUGAAUCAUCGAAUCUUUGAACGCACAUUGCGCCCGCCAGCAUUCUGGCGGGCAUGCCUGUUCGAGCGUCAUUUCAACCCUCAAGCUCUGCUUGGUGUUGGGGCCCUACAGCUGAUGUAGGCCCUCAAAGGUAGUGGCGGACCCUCUCGGAGCCUCCUUUGCGUAGUAACUUUACGUCUCGCACUGGGAUCCGGAGGGACUCUUGCCGUAAAACCCCCAAUUUUCCAAAGGUUGACCUCGGAUCAGGUAGGAAUACCCGCUGAACUUAAGCAUAUCAAAAGGCGGGAAGGAA
rnacentral:rRNA from 1 species